UACGUAGGGGGCUAGCGUUGUCCGGAAUCAUUGGGCGUAAAGCGCGUGUAGGCGGCCCGGUAAGUCCGCUGUGAAAGUCGGGGGCUCAACCCUCGGAUGCCGGUGGAUACUGUCGGGCUCGAGUACGGAAGAGGCGAGUGGAAUUCCUGGUGUAGCGGUGAAAUGCGCAGAUAUCAGGAGGAACACCUAUUGCGAGGGCAGCUCGCUGGGACGUAACUGACGCUGAGACGCGAAAGCGUGGGGAGCAAACAGG
rnacentral:rRNA from 1 species